rnacentral:rRNA from 1 species
GGGUUGUGAGGUUAAGCGACUAAGCGUACACGGUGGAUGCCCUGGCAGUCAGAGGCGAUGAAGGACGUGCUAAUCUGCGAUAAGCGUCGGUAAGGUGAUAUGAACCGUUAUAACCGGCGAUUUCCGAAUGGGGAAACCCAGUGUGAUUCGUCACACUAUCAUUAACUGAAUCCAUAGGUUAAUGAGGCGAACCGGGGGAACUGAAACAUCUAAGUACCCCGAGGAAAAGAAAUCAACCGAGAUUCCCCCAGUAGCGGCGAGCGAACGGGGAGCAGCCCAGAGCCUGAAUCAGUGUGUGUGUUAGUGGAAGCGUCUGGAAAGGCGCGCGAUACAGGGUGACAGCCCCGUACACAAAAAUGCACAUACUGUGAGCUCGAUGAGUAGGGCGGGACACGUGGUAUCCUGUCUGAAUAUGGGGGGACCAUCCUCCAAGGCUAAAUACUCCUGACUGACCGAUAGUGAACCAGUACCGUGAGGGAAAGGCGAAAAGAACCCCGGCGAGGGGAGUGAAAAAGAACCUGAAACCGUGUACGUACAAGCAGUGGGAGCACGCUUAGGCGUGUGACUGCGUACCUUUUGUAUAAUGGGUCAGCGACUUAUAUUCUGUAGCAAGGUUAACCGAAUAGGGGAGCCGAAGGGAAACCGAGUCUUAACUGGGCGUUAAGUUGCAGGGUAUAGACCCGAAACCCGGUGAUCUAGCCAUGGGCAGGUUGAAGGUUGGGUAACACUAACUGGAGGACCGAACCGACUAAUGUUGAAAAAUUAGCGGAUGACUUGUGGCUGGGGGUGAAAGGCCAAUCAAACCGGGAGAUAGCUGGUUCUCCCCGAAAGCUAUUUAGGUAGCGCCUCGUGAAUUCAUCUCCGGGGGUAGAGCACUGUUUCGGCAAGGGGGUCAUCCCGACUUACCAACCCGAUGCAAACUGCGAAUACCGGAGAAUGUUAUCACGGGAGACACACGGCGGGUGCUAACGUCCGUCGUGAAGAGGGAAACAACCCAGACCGCCAGCUAAGGUCCCAAAGUCAUGGUUAAGUGGGAAACGAUGUGGGAAGGCCCAGACAGCCAGGAUGUUGGCUUAGAAGCAGCCAUCAUUUAAAGAAAGCGUAAUAGCUCACUGGUCGAGUCGGCCUGCGCGGAAGAUGUAACGGGGCUAAACCAUGCACCGAAGCUGCGGCAGCGACGCUUAUGCGUUGUUGGGUAGGGGAGCGUUCUGUAAGCCUGCGAAGGUGUGCUGUGAGGCAUGCUGGAGGUAUCAGAAGUGCGAAUGCUGACAUAAGUAACGAUAAAGCGGGUGAAAAGCCCGCUCGCCGGAAGACCAAGGGUUCCUGUCCAACGUUAAUCGGGGCAGGGUGAGUCGACCCCUAAGGCGAGGCCGAAAGGCGUAGUCGAUGGGAAACAGGUUAAUAUUCCUGUACUUGGUGUUACUGCGAAGGGGGGACGGAGAAGGCUAUGUUGGCCGGGCGACGGUUGUCCCGGUUUAAGCGUGUAGGCUGGUUUUCCAGGCAAAUCCGGAAAACUAAGGCUGAGGCGUGAUGACGAGGCACUACGGUGCUGAAGCAACAAAUGCCCUGCUUCCAGGAAAAGCCUCUAAGCAUCAGGUAACAUCAAAUCGUACCCCAAACCGACACAGGUGGUCAGGUAGAGAAUACCAAGGCGCUUGAGAGAACUCGGGUGAAGGAACUAGGCAAAAUGGUGCCGUAACUUCGGGAGAAGGCACGCUGAUAUGUAGGUGAAGUCCCUCGCGGAUGGAGCUGAAAUCAGUCGAAGAUACCAGCUGGCUGCAACUGUUUAUUAAAAACACAGCACUGUGCAAACACGAAAGUGGACGUAUACGGUGUGACGCCUGCCCGGUGCCGGAAGGUUAAUUGAUGGGGUCAGCGCAAGCGAAGCUCUUGAUCGAAGCCCCGGUAAACGGCGGCCGUAACUAUAACGGUCCUAAGGUAGCGAAAUUCCUUGUCGGGUAAGUUCCGACCUGCACGAAUGGCGUAAUGAUGGCCAGGCUGUCUCCACCCGAGACUCAGUGAAAUUGAACUCGCUGUGAAGAUGCAGUGUACCCGCGGCAAGACGGAAAGACCCCGUGAACCUUUACUAUAGCUUGACACUGAACAUUGAGCCUUGAUGUGUAGGAUAGGUGGGAGGCUUUGAAGUGUGGACGCCAGUCUGCAUGGAGCCGACCUUGAAAUACCACCCUUUAAUGUUUGAUGUUCUAACGUUGACCCGUAAUCCGGGUUGCGGACAGUGUCUGGUGGGUAGUUUGACUGGGGCGGUCUCCUCCUAAAGAGUAACGGAGGAGCACGAAGGUUGGCUAAUCCUGGUCGGACAUCAGGAGGUUAGUGCAAUGGCAUAAGCCAGCUUGACUGCGAGCGUGACGGCGCGAGCAGGUGCGAAAGCAGGUCAUAGUGAUCCGGUGGUUCUGAAUGGAAGGGCCAUCGCUCAACGGAUAAAAGGUACUCCGGGGAUAACAGGCUGAUACCGCCCAAGAGUUCAUAUCGACGGCGGUGUUUGGCACCUCGAUGUCGGCUCAUCACAUCCUGGGGCUGAAGUAGGUCCCAAGGGUAUGGCUGUUCGCCAUUUAAAGUGGUACGCGAGCUGGGUUUAGAACGUCGUGAGACAGUUCGGUCCCUAUCUGCCGUGGGCGCUGGAGAACUGAGGGGGGCUGCUCCUAGUACGAGAGGACCGGAGUGGACGCAUCACUGGUGUUCGGGUUGUCAUGCCAAUGGCACUGCCCGGUAGCUAAAUGCGGAAGAGAUAAGUGCUGAAAGCAUCUAAGCACGAAACUUGCCCCGAGAUGAGUUCUCCCUGACUCCUUGAGAGUCCUGAAGGAACGUUGAAGACGACGACGUUGAUAGGCCGGGUGUGUAAGCGCAGCGAUGCGUUGAGCUAACCGGUACUAAUGAACCGUGAGGCUUAACCUUACAACGCCGAAGGUGUUU